rnacentral:lncRNA from 1 species
GAUGGACGGAGGACAGAAUGAGCAGCCAGUUUAGAGAGGAGGCUUCAUGGGGCAUUUCCCUCCCGGCUCAUUCUUGGCCUCCCUCACCCAAGUUCAGGAGCAUGCUUCCCAGCGGGCGACGAGUGAGGGGGCCGAGCGGGCCUCCGCCGAGGGGCGUUCAAGAGGCGGGUUGGGCGGUCGGUGAGAGUGGAGGGUCCUCUGGCCGCCAGCCCGGCGGAGAAUCACCGCGGAGGAACCACCUCUCCUGCCCCAGGGGAACCUGCGCUUCUCCUCCUCCCCCAGGAGAGGCGGCCGCGCGCCCGCCAGGGAGAGAAACUUCUGGCUCGGAGCUGUUUAAACCGGGGACUCGUUUUCCUUCUCCCUCACGCCAGUGUGGUUCAGAACGCCGGCGGCUUCGUGGUUAGAGAAGCCCAGCCCCUGGCAGCCGAGCAGACACAGAUCUAGGGGUUAAAAUCUCGGUCGCACUUUUAGAGCGAGGGUCUCCCACACUUGUGCGUCCCCGUUAUGCGGAGUCCUCAGCGCUUCAGGCUGGACGGCUGGGGGCGGAGGAGUCGCUGUCACCGUCGCCAGCGCCCUGUACCGGUAGACCCCGCUGUGCGCUCCUGGCAGCCCUGAGGGCAGGGCGGCCAACUCGGCGGGGAGGGUCCCCAGGAGCCCAGGGUUGCACCGUAACUCUGCGGUCCCUGGUCUUGCCCCUAGCCCCCAACCCUGCGCACACCUCUGCCCUGGGUUAAUUACCGACCG